rnacentral:tRNA from 1 species
GCCUGGGUGGCUCAGUCGGUUGAGUGUCCGACUUUGGCUCAGGUCAUGAUCUUGUGGUCCGUGGGUUCGAGCCCCGUGUCGGGCU